CCAUUUUAACAAAAAAAAAAAAACAGCAGCCCUAAAUUAAUAUUGCUAGGGCUCUUAGUGUUUGCCGAAUCCCCCAUUUUGCUUGGUAAACGGCGAUGGACCAGCAUCGAUCAAAUUCAAUGCGCGCCCAUACAAAAAUGGUUCUAUGGGAGCACGGGACUACUGUACGGUGAAGAAGGCCAUGCAGGUCUGGCAUGUUCCAGAAACUUCACUGUUUUGGGCCUGCUUUGCAAUCGGAUAGUUGGGGUAAAAACUACUGCCGCGGCACUAAUAUGAAACCUGCAUCUAGCUCAUUCGGGUCUAUUAGCCCAUUUUUUGCAUUUGGGCCCCUUUUGGGUUGUUUGUAAACUGGGUUGGGAUGUGGGUUUAUUUAGUAUUUUGAAAUUUGUAAAUGGACUUUUUUAGACUAUUUAGUCUUGGACUUUAUUUAUUUAUUUGCGUUUACUUAUAAAUAAAUUAAAUGGGCCCGGGCAAAAUUGGUUGGCUACAAA